rnacentral:rRNA from 1 species
GGAUCGGCCCGCGUCCGAUUAGCUAGUUGGUGGGGUAAUGGCCCACCAAGGCGACGAUCGGUAGCUGGUCUGAGAGGAUGAUCAGCCUCACUGGGACUGAGACACGGCCCAGACUCCUACGGGAGGCAGCAGUGGGGAAUAUUGGACAAUGGGCGCAAGCCUGAUCCAGCCAUGCCGCGUGGGUGAUGAAGGCCUUAGGGUUGUAAAGCCCUUUCGGCGGGGAAGAUAAUGACGGUACCCGCAGAAGAAGCCCCGGCUAACUUCGUGCCAGCAGCCGCGGUAAUACGAAGGGGGCUAGCGUUGCUCGGAAUCACUGGGCGUAAAGCGCACGUAGGCGGAUUGUUAAGUCAGGGGUGAAAUCCUGGAGCUCAACUCCAGAACUGCCUUUGAUACUGACGGUCUCGAGUUCGGGAGAGGUGAGUGGAACUGCGAGUGUAGAGGUGAAAUUCGU